rnacentral:rRNA from 1 species
ACCUGAGGUGACUGAGUGGCGGACGGGUGGAGUAACGCGUGGGUAACGUACCCUAUACAGGGGGAUAACAGUGGAAACGACUGCUAAUACCGCAUAAGCGCACAGGACCGCAUGGUCUAGUGUGAAAAACUCCGGUGGUAUAGGAUGGACCCGCGUCUGAUUAGCUAGUUGGUGAGGUAACGGCUCACCAAGGCGACGAUCAGUAGCCGACCUGAGAGGGUGACCGGCCACAUUGGGACUGAGACACGGCCCAAACUCCUACGGGAGGCAGCAGUGGGGAAUAUUGCACAAUGGGCGAAAGCCUGAUGGCAGCGACGCCGCGUGAACGAAGAAGUAUUUCGGUAUGUAAAGUUCUAUCAGCAGGGAAGAAAAAUGACGGUACCUGACUAAGAAGCUCCGGCUAAAUACGUGCCAGCCGCUGC